rnacentral:rRNA from 1 species
AAUCUUCCACAAUGGGCGAAAGCCUGAUGGAGCAACGCCGCGUGAGUGAAGAAGGUUUUCGGAUCGUAAAACUCUGUUGUAAGGGAAGAACAAGUACAGUAGUAACUGGCUGUACCUUGACGGUACCUUAUUAGCAAGCCACGGCUAACUACGUGCCAGCCGCAGCGGUAAUACGUAGGUGGCAAGCGUUGUCCGGAAUUAUUGGGCGUAAAGCGAGCGCGGGCGGGCCUUUAAGUCUGAUGUGAACGCCCACGGCUCAACCGUGGGGGGUCAUUGGAAACUGGGGGACUUGAGUGCAGAAGAGGAAAGUGGAAUUCCAAGUGUAGCGGUGAAAUGCGUAGUGAUUUGGAGGAACACCAGUGGCGAAGGCGACUUUCUGGUCUGUAACUGACGCUGAGGCGCGAAAGCGUGGGGAGCAAACAGG